GUUAGACCACACUAUUCAACCGUGGUUAGACCACACUAUUCAACCGUGGUUAGACCACACUAUUCAACCGUGGUUAGACCACACUAUUCAACCGUGGUUAGACCACACUAUUCAACCGUGGUUAGACCACACUAUUCAACCGUGGUUAGACCACACUAUUCAACCGUGGUUAGACCACACUAUUCAACCGUGGUUAGACCACACUAUUCAACCGUGGUUAGACCACACUAUUCAACCGUGGUUAGACCACACUAUUCAACCGUGGUUAGACCACACUAUUCAACCGUGGUUAGACCACACUAUUCAACCGUGGUUAGACCACACUAUUCAACCGUGGUUAGACCACACUAUUCAACCGUGGUUAGACCACACUAUUCAACCGUGGUUAGACCACACUAUUCAACCGUGGUUAGACCACACUAUUCAACCGUGGUUAGAUCACACUAUUCAACCGUGGUUAGACCACACUAUUCAACCGUGGUUGGACCACACUAUUCAACCGUGGUUAGAUCACACUAUUCAACCGUGGUUAGACCACACUAUUCAACCGUGGUUAGACCACUGACUGUAAAGUCUUCAAGUUGGGUAUGGUUUUGGAGGUAUAAGAGCUCUGUCUGUCUGAGUGAGGAGGGGAAGAAGUGCCAAUGUGGUCAUGUUGGAGUGAGGUUGUGGUCACAUUGGAGUGAGGUUGUGGUCACAUUGGAGUGAGGUUGUGGUCACAUUUGGAGUGAGGUUGUGGUCACAUUUGGAGUGAGGUUGUGGUCACAUUGGAGUGAGGUUGUGGUCACAUUGGAGUGAGGUUGUGGUCACAUUGGAGUGAGGUUGUGGUCACAUUGGAGUGAGGUUGUGGUCACAUUGGAGUGAGGUUGUGGUCACAUUUGGAGUGAGCUUGUGGUCACAUUGGAGUGAGGUUGUGGUCACAUUGGAGUGAGGUUGUGGUCACAUUGGAGUGAGGUUGUGGUCACAUUGGAGUGAGGUUGUGGUCACAUUGGAGUGAGGUUGUGGUCAUAUUGGAGUGAGGUUGUGGUCACAUUUGGAGUGAGGUUGUGGUCACAUUUGGAGUGAGGUUGUGGUCACAUUGGAGUGAGGUUGUGGUCACAUUUGGAGUGAGGUUGUGGUCAUAUUGGAGUGAGGUUGUGGUCACAUUUGGAGUGAGGUUGUGGUCAUAUUGGAGUGAGGUUGUGGUCACAUUUGGAGUGAGC